rnacentral:rRNA from 1 species
AACGGCGAGUGAAGCGGCAAGAGCUCAAAUUUGAAAGCUGGCUCCUUCGGGGUCCGCAUUGUAAUUUGUAGAGGAUGCUUCGGGAGCGGUCCCCAUCUAAGUGCCCUGGAACGGGACGUCAUAGAGGGUGAGAAUCCCGUAUGGGAUGGGGUGUCCGCGCCCGUGUGAAGCUCCUUCGACGAGUCGAGUUGUUUGGGAAUGCAGCUCUAAAUGGGUGGUAAAUUUCAUCUAAAGCUAAAUAUUGGCCGGAGACCGAUAGCGCACAAGUAGAGUGAUCGAAAGAUGAAAAGCACUUUGAAAAGAGAGUUAAAAAGCACGUGAAAUUGUUGAAAGGGAAGCGCUUGCGACCAGACUCGCUCGCGGGGUUCAGCCGGCAUUCGUGCCGGUGUAUUUCCCCGCGGGCGGGCCAGC